rnacentral:rRNA from 1 species
AGUGAACGCUGGCGGUAGGCCUAACACAUGCAAGUCGAACGGCAGCACAGUAAGAGCUUGCUCUUACGGGUGGCGAGUGGCGGACGGGUGAGGAAUACAUCGGAAUCUACUUUUUCGUGGGGGAUAACGUAGGGAAACUUACGCUAAUACCGCAUACGACCUACGGGUGAAAGCAGGGGAUCUUCGGACCUUGCGCGAUUGAAUGAGCCGAUGUCGGAUUAGCUAGUUGGCGGGGUAAAGGCCCACCAAGGCGACGAUCCGUAGCUGGUCUGAGAGGAUGAUCAGCCACACUGGAACUGAGACACGGUCCAGACUCCUACGGGAGGCAGCAGUGGGGAAUAUUGGACAAUGGGCGCAAGACUGAUCCAGCCAUACCGAGUGGGUGAAGAAGGACUUCGGGUUGUAAAGCCCUUUUGUUGGGAAAGAAAAGCAGCAGGUUAAUACCCCGCUGUUCUGACGGUACCAAAAGAAUAAGCACCGGCUAACUUCGUG